UUUAUUAAAUCAUUGUCCUCAAUUCUUCUCCCUUUCCUGUACCUACUCCCUCACCAUGGCCUCAUCAAGAGUAAAGUUCCCUGCCCUUUUUAUUGGCCAUGUGACUUGUUUGGCCAAUGAUAUAUGAACAGAAGUGCCAUCAACACAGGAUGAAAAUAUCCUGGCUGACAGAACAGAAGAAGAGAGACCAGACCAUACCAGCCAUCUCACAGACUUGCAGUGAGAAGCAAAGCUAUUCCAAUUAAAAAUUAGGCUUCAACAAGUCAAGCUCCAGCCAAUCCAGAAACAUAUAGUGGCAACGCACAGGAGGUCUGAAAGUAGAUUGUCUGGGUUCAAAGAUGAUCUCUGCCAAUUGCCAGAUGUGUGAUCUUGGAUUUUUUAGCCUGCCACUCUUGAGCAGAGUACUGCCAUCCAAUUUGACUGCCCAACCUCUCCACCACCUGUGAAACACAAAUAACAGCAUUUCCUUUUCCAGGUGAGACUCAUCUUAGACCCAGUCAACCUGAGCUGAGAAAGACAAAGAAUAGGAAUAGCGGAAGAAAUUUACAUGGCUAAAGAGGACCAACGAUGAAAUUACUUUUAAAAGAACAGAGAAUGCUGGGAGCAGUGGCUCACACCUGUAAUCCCAGCACUUUGGGAGGCCAAGGCGGACGGAUCACGAG
rnacentral:lncRNA from 1 species